AUUGAACGCUGGCGGCAGGCCUAACACAUGCAAGUCGAACGAUUGCCGGACGGGUGAUUCAUAUCUGUGAAACUGCCCGAUGUUGGUGGAUAACUCCUUGAAACGGUAGUUAAUACCCCAUCCCAUCGGAUCUGCCCCGCUGUGAUUAGCUUGUAGGUGAGGUACCGGCUCACCGAGGCGACGAUCCCUAGCGGGUCUGAGAGGUUGAACAGUCACACUGGAACUGAGACACGGUCCAGAUGCCUACGGGAGGCAGCAGUGGGGAAUAUGGCACAAUGGGCGCAAGCCUGAUGCAGCCAUGCCGCGUGUAUGAAGAAGGCCUUCGGGUUGUAAAGUACUUUCAGCGGGGAGGCGUUACCCGCAGAAGAAGCACCGGCUAACUCCGUGCCAGCAGCCGCGGUAAUAC
rnacentral:rRNA from 1 species